rnacentral:rRNA from 1 species
UACAGAGGGUGCAAGCGUUAAUCGGAAUUAUUGGGCGUAAAGAGCUCGUAGGCGGUUUGUCGCGUCUGCUGUGAAAACUCGGGGCUUAACUCCGGGCCUGCAGUGGGUACGGGCAGACUAGAGUGCGGUAGGGGAGACUGGAAUUCCUGGUGUAGCGGUGAAAUGCGCAGAUAUCAGGAGGAACACCGGUGGCGAAGGCGGGUCUCUGGGCCGUAACUGACGCUGAGGAGCGAAAGCGUGGGGAGCGAACAGG